GGCUGUGUGGCCUAGUGGUAUGAUUCUCGCGUUGGGUGCACGAGGUUUCGAGUUCGGUCCUCGACUCAGCGCG
rnacentral:tRNA from 1 species